rnacentral:snRNA from 1 species
UUAGUGGGCGGUGUAGAGGCCCA